CUCGUCUCGUUUAUUAUUUUGUAACGUAUUUAUUAUUUAUUUAUUAUCAUAGAGAGGUCGGAGAGGAGGGAUUGCGAGGAAAAGAGGGGUUUUCUUGGUUGAAUUGCUUACGAGACGAUCCAGAUAAGGUUAAGGUUAUGUUUGCAUUGAAUUGAGCUGUAGUAUUACUGUGAGUGAGUGGUCAAUGAACAUCAACAGCAUUAUCAUCCAAUUGGGUUACUCGCCUCCUGCAUGGGCAACUAUAAUUGCAGCUGCCUUUCUCAUCUCCACUCUAACUCUCUCCAUGUAUCUUUUAUUUGAGCAUCUUUCCGCUUACAAGAAUCCCGAGGAGCAAAAGUUCUUGAUUGGGGUUAUCCUAAUGGUUCCCUGCUAUUCUAUUGAAUCUUUUGUAUCAUUGGUCAAUCCAUCAAUCAGCGUUGAUUGCGAGAUUCUAAGGGACUGCUACGAAUCCUUUGCCAUGUAUUGCUUUGGAAGAUACCUUGUUGCCUGUCUUGGCGGUGAGGAAAGGACCAUUCAAUUUAUGGAAAGGCAGGCUCGUAUCACUGUUAAAACUCCUCUUCUACACCAUUCCUCUGACCAGGGCACUAUCAGCCAUCCUUUUCCCAUCAACUAUUUCCUUAAACCCUGGAAACUCGGUUCCGGCUUCUAUCAAAUUGUUAAAUUUGGCAUUGUUCAAUAUAUGAUAAUCAAGGCUUUCACCGCAAUUCUGGCCGUAAUCCUUGAAGCCUUCGGAGUCUACUGUGAAGGAGAAUUUAAACCGGGAUGUGGGUAUCCUUAUGUGGCAGUGGUUCUGAAUUUCAGUCAGUCUUGGGCUUUGUACUGCCUUGUUCAAUUUUAUACUGUUACAAAGGACGAACUGGCUCAUAUAAAGCCAUUGGCCAAAUUUUUGACAUUUAAAUCAAUUGUGUUCCUCACUUGGUGGCAAGGUGUAGCAAUUGCUCUCCUAUGUACCGUUGGUUUGUUCAAAAGUCCCAUAGCACAUGGCUUGCAGUUUAAGUCAAGUAUCCAGGAUUUCAUCAUUUGCAUUGAGAUAAGGGGAAGAAUAAAGUUUAACAGCACUUUGUAUUCAUCAAGCACAGAUGGGCAUAGCUUCUGUAGUCCACCUUUAUGUGUUUCCGGCGAAGCCUUAUGAGCUAAUGGGAGACUGCCUUCCUGGAAGUGUUUCAGUUCUGGGAGAUUACUCUGCUGACUGUCCUCUGGACCCUGAUGAGAUUAGAGACAGUGAGAGACCCACAAAACUGCGUCUUCCUACACCUGAUGUUGAUGCCAAGAGUGGGAUGACAAUCAGAGAGAGUGUUCGUGAUGUAGUUAUUGGUGGUGGUGGAUAUAUCGUGAAAGAUUUGAAGUUCACAGUCCAUCAAGCAGUGGAGCCUGUGGAAAAAGGGAUCACUAGAUUCAAUGAAAAACUACACCGAAUCUCCCAAAAUAUUAAGAAACAUGACAAAGAUGCAAGAAGAACCAAGGAUGAUAGUUGCAUUGUCUCAUCAUCACCUGCAAGGAGGGUGAUUCGAGGAAUUGAUGACCCCCUAUUGAAUGGGAGUUUCAGCGAUAGUGGGAUAUCAAGGGUAAAGAAGCAUCGCCGAAAAUCUGGAUAUACAAGUGCAGAGAGUGGAGAGAGCAGUAGUGAUCAAAGUUAUGGGGGCUACCAGAUUAGAGGCCGAAGGUGGGUUACGAAGGAGUAACUGAUGGUUUAGGGAACAGCUUAUAGCAGUUUCGCAAAAAUGCUAGAUUUUACUGGUUCAUGUGCCCAGCGCUGAGCUGAGAUGAAUGGGAGGAAUAAUUUGUUACAUGUUUGGCGCAUGAGAGAUCUGGUUGAAAUUUUUAACUGUGUAUCAUUUCUCGUCAGAUGAAGUCAUGAUUUUUCCUGUGCCAUUGCUAUGAUGGGUCUUCUGUAUUUGUAUAGAGGUUUCUUCUGGCAGCUUCUAAUACUUUUGCUUUGUACCAAACAAGAAAUUUACAGCAGUUGCCAGAAUAAGCGACGAGUUUGCCGGGGGCAAUACUAUGUGAUACUGGGGAUCUAUUGGAAUGUUAAUGUUAGUUUUGUGCGGUUAUUAGUGUUUAGAGGUAUACGCAUGCGAAUAUUUUUUACCAGUGUAGGGAGAGUUAAGGCAACAUUUUGACUUUGUAUGAUUUAGGAGGAGAAAAGAUGACAGAAAAUGAGAAGAAACAAAUGUACAGAUAAUAUUAUUCUCUCGUAUUUGAUAGUGGGGUAGCGAAGAAAUGUGGGAAGGAGAGUAAAAAAGUUGCUAAUCCCAAAAAAAUUUUACUGGU